rnacentral:rRNA from 1 species
GCAAGUCGAACGAGAAAUUCCGAGCUUGCUUGGAAUGGAAAGUGGCGCACGGGUGAGUAACACGUAGGCAACCUGCCCCUGAGAGUGGGAUAACCAUGGGAAACUGUGGCUAAUACCGCAUAUUGUCUUUUGAACACAUGUUCUUUAGAUGAAAAUUCCGGUGCUCAGGGAUGGGCCUGCGGCAGAUUAGUUUGUUGGUGAGGUAACGGCUCACCAAGACUACGAUCUGUAGCUGGUCUGAGAGGAUGAUC